GGUGACUAGUGACAGAGAGAGGGAUGGGGUGACUAGUGACAGAGUGAGGCAGCGGGUGACACAGUGACAGAGGUAGGGAGGGAGUGACUAGUGACAGAGAGAGGGAUGGGGUGACUAGUGACACUCUGUCACUAGUCACUAUCUCCCUCUGUCACUAGUCACUCCCUCACUCUGUCACCAGUCAUCCCCUCACUCUGUCACUAGUCACCCCCUCUCCCUCCCUCUGUCACUAGUCACCCCCUCUCCCUCCCUCUGUCACUAAUCACCCACUCCCUCACUCUGUCACCAAUCACCCCAACUCACUGUGUCUGCCCCUCACUCUGCCAC